ensembl:snRNA U6 U6 spliceosomal RNA
GUGCUUGCUUAGGCAGCACAUAUACUAAAAUUGGAACUAUGCAGAGAUUAGCAUGGUGCCUGCUUGAGGAUGACACACAGAUUCAUGAAGCAUUCCAUAUUUUU